rnacentral:rRNA from 1 species
UGGGGAAUUUUCCGCAAUGGGCGCAAGCCUGACGGAGCAACGCCGCGUGGGGGAGGAAGGUCUGUGGAUUGUAAACCCCUUUUCUCAGGGAAGAAGAACUGACGGUACCUGAGGAAUCAGCAUCGGCUAACUCCGUGCCAGCAGCCGCGGUAAUACGGAGGAUGCAAGCGUUAUCCGGAAUUAUUGGGCGUAAAGCGUCCGUAGGCGGUCAGUCAAGUCCGCUGUCAAAGACUGCAGCUCAACUGUGGAAUGGCAGUGGAAACUGAUUGACUAGAGUGCGGUAGGGGUAGAGGGAAUUCCCAGUGUAGCGGUGAAAUGCGUAGAUAUUGGGAAGAACACCAGUGGCGAAGGCGCUCUACUGGGCCGCAACUGACGCUGAGGGACGAAAGCUAGGGGAGCGAAAGGGAUUAGAUACCCCCGUAGUCC